rnacentral:rRNA from 1 species
CUACGGGAGGCAGCAGUGAGGAAUAUUGGACAAUGGGCGGGAGCCUGAUCCAGCCAUGCCGCGUGCAGGAAGACUGCCCUAUGGGUUGUAAACUGCUUUUAUACAGGAAGAAUAAGCCUUACGUGUAAGGUGAUGACGGUACUGUAAGAAUAAGGACCGGCUAACUCCGUGCCAGCAGCCGCGGUAAUACGGAGGGUCCGAGCGUUAUCCGGAAUUAUUGGGUUUAAAGGGUCCGUAGGCGGAUGAUUAAGUCAGGGGUGAAAGUUUGCAGCUCAACUGUAAAAUUGCCUUUGAUACUGGUUAUCUUGAGUUGUAUUGAAGUAGGCGGAAUAUGUAGUGUAGCGGUGAAAUGCAUAGAUAUUACAUAGAACACCAAUUGCGAAGGCAGCUUAUUAAGUACUAACUGACGCUGAUGGACGAAAGCGUGGGUAGCGAACAGGAUUAGAUACCCUGGUAGUCCACGCCGUAAACGAUGGAUACUAGCUGUUCGGGACCUUGAGUUCUGAGCGGCUAAGCGAAAGUGAUAAGUAUCCCACCUGGGGAGUACGUUCGCAAGAAUGAAACUCAAAGGAAUUGACGG